GGUUAAGCGACUAAGCGUACACGGUGGAUGCCCUGGCAGUCAGAGGCGAUGAAGGACGUGCUAAUCUGCGAAAAGCGUCGGUAAGGUGAUAUGAACCGUUACAGCCGGCGAUGUCCGAAUGGGGAAACCCAGUGCAAUUCGUUGCACUAUCGUUAACUGAAUACAUAGGUUAACGAGGCGAACCGGGGGAACUGAAACAUCUAAGUACCCCGAGGAAAAGAAAUCAACCGAGAUUCCCCCAGUAGCGGCGAGCGAACGGGGAGCAGCCCAGAGUCUGAAUCAGCUUGUGUGUUAGUGGAACGGUCUGGAAAGUCCGACGGUACAGGGUGAUAGUCCCGUACACCAAAAUGCACAGGCUGUGAACUCGAAGAGUAGGGCGGGACACGUGGUAUCCUGUCUGAAUAUGGGGGGACCAUCCUCCAAGGCUAAAUACUCCUGACUGACCGAUAGUGAACCAGUACCGUGAGGGAAAGGCGAAAAGAACCCCGGCGAGGGGAGUGAAAAAGAACCUGAAACCGUGUACGUACAAGCAGUGGGAGCACCUUCGGGUGUGACUGCGUACCUUUUGUAUAAUGGGUCAGCGACUUAUAUUCUGUAGCAAGGUUAACCGUAUAGGGGAGCCGCAGGGAAACCGAGUCUUAACUGGGCGUUAAGUUGCAGGGUAUAGACCCGAAACCCGGUGAUCUAGCCAUGGGCAGGUUGAAGGUUGGGUAACACUAACUGGAGGACCGAACCGACUAAUGUUGAAAAAUUAGCGGAUGACUUGUGGCUGGGGGUGAAAGGCCAAUCAAACCGGGAGAUAGCUGGUUCUCCCCGAAAGCUAUUUAGGUAGCGCCUCGUGAACUCAUCUUCGGGGGUAGAGCACUGUUUCGGCUAGGGGGUCAUCCCGACUUACCAACCCGAUGCAAACUACGAAUACCGAAGAAUGUUAUCACGGGAGACACACGGCGGGUGCUAACGUCCGUCGUGAAGAGGGAAACAACCCAGACCGCCAGCUAAGGUCCCAAAGUCAUGGUUAAGUGGGAAACGAUGUGGGAAGGCACAGACAGCCAGGAUGUUGGCUUAGAAGCAGCCAUCAUUUAAAGAAAGCGUAAUAGCUCACUGGUCGAGUCGGCCUGCGCGGAAGAUGUAACGGGGCUAAACCAUGCACCGAAGCUGCGGCAGCGACACUAUGUGUUGUUGGGUAGGGGAGCGUUCUGUAAGCCUGCGAAGGUGUGCUGUGAGGCAUGCUGGAGGUAUCAGAAGUGCGAAUGCUGACAUAAGUAACGAUAAAGCGGGUGAAAAGCCCGCUCGCCGGAAGACCAAGGGUUCCUGUCCAACGUUAAUCGGGGCAGGGUGAGUCGACCCCUAAGGCGAGGCCGAAAGGCGUAGUCGAUGGGAAACAGGUUAAUAUUCCUGUACUUGGUGUUACUGCGAAGGGGGGACGGAGAAGGCUAUGUUAGCCGGGCGACGGUUGUCCCGGUUUAAGCAUGUAGGCUGGUUAUCCAGGCAAAUCCGGAUAAUCAAGGCUGAGGUGUGAUGACGAGGCACUACGGUGCUGAAGUAACAAAUGCCCUGCUUCCAGGAAAAGCCUCUAAGCAUCAGGUAACAUCAAAUCGUACCCCAAACCGACACAGGUGGUCAGGUAGAGAAUACCAAGGCGCUUGAGAGAACUCGGGUGAAGGAACUAGGCAAAAUGGUGCCGUAACUUCGGGAGAAGGCACGCUGGUGUGUAGGUGAAGCCCCUGCGGGUGGAGCUGAGACCAGUCGAAGAUACCAGCUGGCUGCAACUGUUUAUUAAAAACACAGCACUGUGCAAACACGAAAGUGGACGUAUACGGUGUGACGCCUGCCCGGUGCCGGAAGGUUAAUUGAUGGGGUUAUCCGUAAGGAGAAGCUCUUGAUCGAAGCCCCGGUAAACGGCGGCCGUAACUAUAACGGUCCUAAGGUAGCGAAAUUCCUUGUCGGGUAAGUUCCGACCUGCACGAAUGGCGUAAUGAUGGCCAGGCUGUCUCCACCCGAGACUCAGUGAAAUUGAACUCGCUGUGAAGAUGCAGUGUACCCGCGGCAAGACGGAAAGACCCCGUGAACCUUUACUAUAGCUUGACACUGAACAUUGAGCCUUGAUGUGUAGGAUAGGUGGGAGGCUUUGAAGCGUGGACGCCAGUCUGCGUGGAGCCAACCUUGAAAUACCACCCUUUAAUGUUUGAUGUUCUAACGUUGGCCCCUUACCGGGGUUGCGGACAGUGUCUGGUGGGUAGUUUGACUGGGGCGGUCUCCUCCCAAAGCGUAACGGAGGAGCACGAAGGUUAGCUAAUCCUGGUCGGACAUCAGGAGGUUAGUGCAAUGGCAUAAGCUAGCUUGACUGCGAGCGUGACGGCGCGAGCAGGUGCGAAAGCAGGUCAUAGUGAUCCGGUGGUUCUGAAUGGAAGGGCCAUCGCUCAACGGAUAAAAGGUACUCCGGGGAUAACAGGCUGAUACCGCCCAAGAGUUCAUAUCGACGGCGGUGUUUGGCACCUCGAUGUCGGCUCAUCACAUCCUGGGGCUGAAGUAGGUCCCAAGGGUAUGGCUGUUCGCCAUUUAAAGUGGUACGCGAGCUGGGUUUAGAACGUCGUGAGACAGUUCGGUCCCUAUCUGCCGUGGGCGCUGGAGAAUUGAGGGGGGCUGCUCCUAGUACGAGAGGACCGGAGUGGACGCAUCACUGGUGUUCGGGUUGUCAUGCCAAUGGCACUGCCCGGUAGCUAAAUGCGGAAGAGAUAAGUGCUGAAAGCAUCUAAGCACGAAACUUGCCCCGAGAUGAGUUCUCCCUGAGACUUUAAGUCUCCUGAAGGAACGUUGAAGACGACGACGUUGAUAGGCCGGGUGUGUAAGCGCAGCGAUGCGUUGAGCUAACCGGUACUAAUGAACCGUGAGGCUUAACCUU
rnacentral:rRNA from 1 species